AUCUUUUUGUAGUUCAUAAUGUGAUGAUUGGGUGUUCGCGCUCUUGUGUGACAAGUGCCUCCCACAAGCCUUGUUACGACAUCGGCACAUUAUCCGCCUGACA